rnacentral:tRNA from 1 species
GGAGGUAUGGCUCAGUGGUAGAGUGCACGCCUGACAUGCAUGAGGUCCUGGGUUCAAUCCCCAGUGCCUCUG